rnacentral:tRNA from 1 species
AUUAAUAUGACAGAAUAGUGUAAAGGUUUUAAAUUCCUUAAAUAAAAUUUAUAUUUUUAUUAAUA